UCCAGCGGGUCGCUUUCGCCACCGGCGUUCCUUCCGAUAUCAACGCAUUUCACCGCUCCACCGGAAGUUCCACCCGCCCCUACCUCGCUCGAGACUCCCAGUAUCCAAGGCUAUUUUCCGGUUGAGCCGAAAGAUUUCACCCCGGACUUGAGAGCCCGCCUACGCGCCCUUUAAGCCCAGUGAUUCCGAACAACGUUAGGACGGUUCGUCUUACCGCGGCUGCUGGCACGAACUUAGCCCGUCCUUCCUCCAGGGAUAGGUCAACCUUGCGGCUUCCUCCCCCUCGACAGCGCUUUACAACCCGAAGGCCUUCAUCGCGCACGCGGCGUCGCUCGGUCAGGCCUGCGCCCAUUGCCGAAGAUCCUCGACUGCAGCCUCCCGUAGGAGUCUGGCCAGUGUCUCAGUGCCAGUGGCGCGGGUCGUGCUCUCACACCCGCUAGCCAUCUUUGCCUUGGUGGGCCGUCACCCCGCCAACAAGCUAAUAGCACGUGAGCCCCUCUCCGGGCGAAAUUCAUUUGGUAGUCACGAGAUGCCCCGCAACUACGUCGCCGGGUAUUACUCUCCCGUUAGGAAGGCUAUCCCCGUCCCAGAGGUAGGUUACCCACGCCUUACUGCCCCUUUCGCCACUCAGUCCGGGAUAUUGCUACCCCGUCUUCGUUCGACUUGCAUGCCUAAUCCACGCCGCCAACGUUCGUUCUGAGCCAGGAUCAAACUC
rnacentral:rRNA from 1 species